rfam:Toxocara canis scaffold272, whole genome shotgun sequence.
GAGGCAGUAGCUCAGUGGUACAGCUCCAGCUUCUUAAGCGGGAAGACCUGCGUUCGAUUCCCGGCUGCUUUC